rnacentral:piRNA from 1 species
ACAGCCCGGAUGCUGGCAGAGCAGAACU